rnacentral:rRNA from 1 species
CCUACGGGGGCUGCAGUUUCGAAUCAUUCACAAUGGGCGAAAGCCUGAUGGUGCGACGCCGCGUGAGGGCUGAAGGCCUUCGGGUUGUAAACCUCUGUCACUGGGGAAGAAACGCUUCAAGUUAAUAGCUUGAAGCCUGACUUAACCCAGAGAGGAAGCAGUGGCUAACUCUGUGCCAGCAGCCGCGGUAAUACAGAGACUGCAAGCGUUAUGCGGAUUGGCUGGGCGGGCGGGCUGCGCAGUCGGCCGGGAAAGCCCGGGGCUUAACCUCGGAAUUGCGCCUAAAACUACACGGCUAGAGCAUUGGAGAGGGUAGCGGAAUUCACGGUGUAGCAGUGAAAUGCGUAGAUAUCGUGAGGAACACCAGAGGCGAAGGCGGCUACCUGGACAAUUGCUGACGCUCAGGCACGAAAGCGUGGGGAGCAAAAGGGAUUAGAUACCCGUGUAGUC